rnacentral:lncRNA from 1 species
ACCCUAAAGAUUUGGGGUCAAAUCUCGAUCAAAGGAAGGGCAUGUGACGAUCAGGGAAGUCAACUCGGGAGUUUCCGUAGCGUUUCGGGCCAGAGCGAGAGAUCAUAUCGCGCCUGUCCUUUUUCAGCCAGAAACACUUGUUUUCUCGGCGGAAGGGACAGUGCGCUGAUUCAGCAUCCCCCACCGCUGGCCCGAGGCGCUCCGGAGGCAACGAAGCUCCCUGGUCGCCACGGGAAAUUUAGAUUGCGAAGAGCCUCCGCGGGAGUCGGAGCUGGUUUUGGUUGGUUGUUUUCUGGAUACGUCGGUUACGUUGAUCUUGUUCGCCUACAUAGGAAUUAGUUUACUUUUUUUGGUUAGUGAUUUGACGUUAGUUUCGCCCCUCCUCUUUUCGUCGUUAUUAUUCCCGUUCUUUUUUAUAUAUUUUCUUUGAUUUCGAGAGUUUUUUUUUUUCAGAAUACAAGUUUCUUUAGUUCACUUACGAGAAGUCUCUUUUUUUUAUUGUUCUUUCAGACACCCCCCCCUUUUCUUCUCUACACUUCCUCCUUUCAUUCUUUUCUUUUGACUAAGGGCAAGAGGCACGGUCUGGCCGUUGUCUUGAUUGGUCUGGCCAAUCAGCUUUAGUCCCUUCCUUACUACUCUUAUCUAUCCACCUUUUCCUUAGGGCAAGAGGUACGGUCUGGUCGUAUCUUGACUGGUCUGGCCAGUCAGCCCUAGGGGUUUUCCAUUCUUUUCUUUUGUGAGGGAAAGAGGCACAGUCUGGCUGUUGUCUCGAUUGGUCUGGCCAAUCAUCCCUUACGAAAGUUUCUCCUUCGCGACUAUCCACCUUUUCCUUAGGGCAAGAGGUACGGUCUGGCCGUAUCUUGACUGGUCUGGCCAGUCAGCGCUUGUUCAUCAUCUUUUUCUUCACCAACCCCCUUUUCUCCCCCAGAUCUCCCUGUUCUCGCAGAGGGGGUCAUUAUCUUUUUUUUUUCUUUUUUCUUUUUUUUGGUCGCCACAAAUCUGGUGGAGGCUAGCCGGUCUUUUGGAAUUUCUACGUUCCAAACCGUCCCGUUUUUUUUUUAUUUACUUUCGUAGCCAAGCGACCCUCUGCUAUUUUUUUUUUUUUAUUUUUUUUUAUUUUCUCUCUUUCAUUCGGCCCCGUUUUUUUUUUUUUUUCGCUCUUGUCUUUCUUAAGUGUAUUCUCGUGUUGGUUUCUUAAUCUGAAGUGUAGUUGUUUAUUUAAUUGGUCGUUUUUUUCUCUUUUAAAAUUUAUUGCUCAUUUCUGGCUCUCGGGAAAGUAUUCAUUGAUUAAUUCUGAAAUUAUCAUUAUGUGUUACUUAGGACCAAAGAGACAAGAACACCCUAUAAAUCGGGUUAUCGCCAACCCUCCCCUACCUCGCAUACCGCAAGGAAAUGCUCGCGCCGUUGCGCAAUUUAACGCCGUUAUAACCGUUGCCGUAAACCGUGUGCGCACAAACUCACACUAAAUUUUCCUCAUUCGUUGUGCUGUUCAAUUUAUUUAUUAAUUUUUUUUUAUUUUUUGCUUUCAAAAAAAUUAUCUCCUUGGAUCCGCACCAUCAGCCGAAUUACGCGAAGUCAUCGUGGGUUUAUUUGUGUAAAUUAAAUUUAAAUUGCCUUUUGGUUCUUCCCAUUGUUUAACUGUCAGAAACCGAAAAAAAAAAUUAUCUUCCGACCCCCCCCCCCAUCCCUUUGUUAAAAUAUGCGCAAAACACACGCGAGUAAAUGCAUACGCUGAUAGUUCACUGUGGCAUCAACGCGUUCCGAGUUCUUUACGUAGAAUUACUACCACUACUGCAUCAGGCUGGGUUACUUGAACAAGACACCCAUGCACGGAUAAGCACGGUAUAUGAGCAUCUAAACUCACUCCAACCUUCCAUCCUAUUAAAUUACCUCAGAAACGCCUUAAGCAUCC